rnacentral:sRNA from 16 species
UUUCUUGUGAGGAGUUGAACUCCUCUGUGGAGUGGAAACAAGGCAACACGUCCACACGAGUUCACGA